rnacentral:lncRNA from 1 species
UCUGUAUUCCAGGCUGGUUUUGAACUCACAUGAUCCUCCUGCCUGAACCUACCAAGUGCUGGGAUGACAGGCAUGCGCCUCCACAGCUGGCAUAUUCCCUGUUGUUUUAAUGGCCAAACACCUGAUGAUACCAUUUUUUUCCACCAAAAUACCAUGUUAUGAAUUAUGGUAUGAUAUAAAAUCAUAAUACCCACAUAUGGAACUUAAGUAGUUUACAUAUUCCACAGCAGAAUUUUCUCCAGUGCUAUAUAGCAUGACAUAGGAUUCUGUGCCUUUUGUUAAAAAGUACUCAAGAUUUAUUCAGGGGUAGUCGUCUGUUUUUUUUUUUUUUUUUGGUACUGGGGAUCGAACUUGGGUACUUGCGCUUGCGAGGCAGGUGGCAGAACCACUGAGCUAAAUCCCUGGCAUUCAGGGGUAGUCUUAAUGAUGUGUGGCUGGAGGUUGAGUAGCAAUUUAUUUUGUGACAUCUUUCAGGCUUUAAGUUAAAGGAAAUCACCUCUCAAAUUUGUGUAACGUACUCACUGAUCAGUGUAACCCUAAUUUUUCUUAAUAUUUGUCUAAAGCACAGUAGUAGUGAUGCUGGCAAUUCAGAUAUGCCAAAGAAAACCCAUAAAGUGGAUCCUUUAAGUAUCAUCAUCUAUUACAGAUGGGUUGUUGCGGUACAAGAUAUUUUGAGAGACUACACUUAAAUAACUUUUAUUAUAGUACAUUGUUAUAAUUGUCGGUUUUUAUUAAGUAUUAUGGUUAACCUCUUACAUUGCUAAUUUGUAAAUUAAAUAUCAUGAUAUGUAUCUAUAGGAAAAACAUGGUAUAUAUAAGGUUUGGUAACAUGUGCGAUUUCAGGAAUUCACACUAGGAAUUCCUAGUGGUCCCGGAACACAUCCAAGGAUAAAGAGGAACUACCGUAGAAGUUUUAAAAGUAUCUAAAAUAAAACUUCAGAGCUCUUCAUUCAAUCUUUUGAGAGCUUCAUGUAAACCAUCAUGUGGGAUGAAUCAGCUGCACAUGCCAGCUCUUCCUUCCUCUACUACAGGUCCUGGUUGCUAUGGCUUCUCAUUAGCUUCUUAAGAUCCCUUUGGAGCCCUGGUUGCCUGGCAGGAGAAAAGGCAGAAGCUGCUAGAAGCUGUGAGGACAGAUGCAAGCUGCAGAAGUAGCCCCUGGGGGAACACUGGG